AUUGAACGCUGGCGGCAUGCCUUACACAUGCAAGUCGAACGGCAGCACGGGUGCUUGCACCCGGUGGCGAGUGGCGAACGGGUGAGUAAUACAUCGGAACAUGUCCUGUAGUGGGGGAUAGCCCGGCGAAAGCCGGAUUAAUACCGCAUACGAUCCACGGAUGAAAGCGGGGGACCUUCGGGCCUCGCGCUAUAGGGUUGGCCGAUGGCUGAUUAGCUAGUUGGUGGGGUAAAGGCCUACCAAGGCGACGAUCAGUAGCUGGUCUGAGAGGACGACCAGCCACACUGGGACUGAGACACGGCCCAGACUCCUACGGGAGGCAGCAGUGGGGAAUUUUGGACAAUGGGCGAAAGCCUGAUCCAGCAAUGCCGCGUGUGUGAAGAAGGCCUUCGGGUUGUAAAGCACUUUUGUCCGGAAAGAAAUCCUUGACUCUAAUACAGUCGGGGGAUGACGGUACCGGAAGAAUAAGCACCGGCUAACUACGUG
rnacentral:rRNA from 1 species